AUGUCCCUAGUAAGGACAUGAACUCAUCAUUUUUUAUGGCUGCAUAGUAUUCCAUGGUGUAUAAUGAACCUGAAACGGGAAAGGGCGAGAUUAACUAAGCCUGUUUGCCAUGGACAGCAAUGGGGUUGCUAGAAGAUUAGCUGUGUGGAAAAAUUAUGCAUUUACCUUUGGGCAUAAUAAAAUGCAAUUGACUCUCCAUAUUCAUGGGUUCUGCAUCCACCGAUUCAAACAACUGUGGAACAAAAUUGUCAGAAAAAACAAUACAAUGAUAAAAAAUGAUACAAAUAAAAAACAACAUGGUAUACCAACUAUUUACAUAGCAUUUACAUCGUAUUAAUUGUUAUUAAGUAAUCUAGAGAUGAUUUAAAGUAUAUAGGAGGAUGUGUGCAGGUUAUAUGCAAAUACUACACUAUUUUAUACCAGUAACUUGAGCAUCCAUAGAUUUUGGUAUACAAGGGGGAUCCUGGAACCAAUUCCCCAUGCAUAUCAAAGGAUGACUGUAUGAGUUAUCUGUAAAAUGGUUUGGUUGAAAUGUUUAGAAAACAGCUAGAAAUACAAGACUGGCUGUUGGAUGAAAAAAACAUAGGACUAGGAAAUUCAGGUAUGCUAGUCUUUUUGAGUAUUGCUUAAAGCCAUGGGAAAAGAGCUCUCUGUGAGUUCCAAGACAGAUGCAAGGACUGGCAUUCAUGCACAGCUUCUAACAGAUAAAUCUGAAGAGUUCUUAGUAUGCAUGUUGACUGAAAUUACUUUAGAAGUAAUUUUUCUCCUGGUGAUAAAAGGCAUGUAAGGCUAUUUUAGGAAAUUGAAAAAUGCAAAAAGUAUAAAGAAAAAGAAAAGAUAAUCAUUAAUAGUACGUUAGUAAACAAGACUUGACUAAAGAUAUGACUUUCCUCCCGCUUGUUUUCUUAUGCAUAUAAAGGGAUAGGAAAUAUGUAUGUAUGUAUGUGUGUGUAUAGGAUCAUGCACUAUAUAUAGCUUGCUUCUUUUUCCAUUAUGAUAAUUUUCCCAUGUCAUGAAUUACGGCUUGCAAGUGCUUAUUCUUAAAGGGCUGCAUUAUUUUUCAUUAUUUGGAUUUAUUGUUAUUUAAUUGGAGCUCUAUUAUUGAACAUUUAGAUUGCUUCCAAAAUUUUUUGCUCUUGUUAAUAUAUUGUAAUAAACUUCUGUGAAACACAUACUCUUCACCUGCUACUUACAUAUGACUUCUGUAAGCAGAGACCUCUGUAUCCCCAGGACCUAGAAGGUUACCCGGACAUAGUAGUUGCUUAAUUAAAAAAAAUUAUUGAUUGAAUGAAAGAAGACUAUUAAAUGUUCAGUUCUUCUUUUUUUAUUCUGAUUCCCUGUGUAUCCAGGGGCCUCUUAUUUGGCUGCAUGUAUGAGUUUGGCUGUAAUGAAAGUAUUGGCCGUAUAUGACCAUAAACAGGCAUUCCUAUUUCUGUCACAGUUAUAUUUGUCAUUCUGUAUUAAUACAUCUAUAUCCUGAUUUCUAUUGAAGCAUGGUUAAUUUUGUUUGCUUCUAAGCAAUGUAGCUACCCUGUUGAUGCUGAUAAAAAUAAAUUUCUGAACCUAUAAGACUGAGGAUUGGGCCUAGGUUGUAGUAAAUUGGCAAGAUAAUGGAUGCUACCCUGUCAAGAGUCCUCUGAAGAGAAAAGUCUGCCACCCUUCACCAGGUAGAAACUCCAGGCAGUGCCACAUUUUCCAGUUUGACGCCCUGUGAUACCCUGAAAAGACAGAUGUUUGACUCUUUUCAAAUAAUAUUUUAACAUAUUUUAAGACGCAAAGGCAUUGUGUCGGACUUUUUUCUUAAGAAUAUAUUUCAUUACGAAGAAUUUUUUAGGUCCAGUUCACAGAUUCCUUGUGCCUGGGGAAAACUUUAUUAGAAAAUUAGAUAA
rnacentral:lncRNA from 1 species